GCUCCCUGCCCGCCGCCCGCGGUCCUCGGUCGGUUCUUUGGUUAGUCCCCUGUCUCGUCUUUAGCUUACCGGUCUUCAUCUCCGAGCUUGCGACUCGCGAACCAGGGGUCUUCGGCGAGGAGAGGCCAGACUCAAAGUCGUCGCUUGAGCAAUGGCAGCUAUCCGGAAGAAACUGGUGAUUGUUGGUGAUGGAGCCUGUGGCAAGGCAUGCUUGCUCAUAGUCUUCAGCAAGGACCAGUUCCCAGAGGUAUAUGUGCCUACAGUGUUUAAAAACUAUGUGGCAGAUACGAAGUGGAUGGAAAACAGGUAGAGUUGGCCUUGUGGGACACAACUGGGCAGGAAGAUUAUGAUCGUCUGAGGCCGCUCUCCGAACCAGAUACCGAUGUUAUAUUGAUGUGUUUCUCCAUCGACAGCCCUGAUAGUUUAGAAAACAUCCCAGAAAAAUGGACUCCCGAAGUCAAGCAUUUCUGUCCCAACAUACCCAUUAUCCUGGUUGGAAACAAGAAGGAUCUUCGGAAUGAUGAGCACGCAAGGUGGGAGCUAGCCAAGAUGAAGCAGGAACCGGUAAAACCUGAAGAAGGCAGAGAGAUAUGGCAAACAGGAUUGGUGCUUUUGGGUACAUGAAGUGUUCAGCAAAGACCGAAGAUGGAGUGAGGGAAAUUUUUGAAGUGGCUACGAGAGCUGCUCUGCAAGCCAGGCGUGGGAAGAAAAAAUCUGGGUGCCUUGUCUUGUGAAACCUUGCUGCAAGCACAGUCCUUAUGUAGUUAAUUUUGAAGUGCUGUUUAUUAAUCUUAGUGUAUGAUUACUGGCCUUUUUCAUUUAUCUAUAAUUUACCUAAGAUUACAAAUCAGAAGUCUUUUUGCUACCAGUAUUUAGAAGCCAACCAUGAUUAUUAAUGAUGUCCAACCCGUCUGGCCCACCAGGGUCCUUCUGACAUUGCUCUAACAGCCCUCUCUGCACUCCCACCUGACACAUCAGGUGCUAAUUCAAGGAAUUUUUUAACUUCUUGUUUCUUUCUAGAAAGAGAAACAAUUGGUAACUUUUGUGAAUUAGGCUGUAACUACUUUAUAACAUAACAUGUCCUGCCUAUCAUCUGUCAGCUGCAAGGUACUCUGGUGAGUCACCACUUCAGAGCUUUACUCCUUAACAGAUUUAAUUGGCAUAGCUCUGAGGUGGUUAUCCAGUUUUUUGAAAAUGUGCUCAUCCAGAAAAGCCCAAGUCCGUGCAGCUGUGGCAGAGUUACAGUUCUGUGGUUUCGUGUUAGUUACCUUAUAGUUACUGUGUAAUUAGCGCCACUUCAUGUAUGUUACCAAAAAUAAAUAUAUCUACCCCAAACUAGAUGUAGUAUUUUUUGUAUAGUUGGAUUUCCUAAUACCGAUAUUUGUCAUCUCUAAAGAAAGUGUAUUGGUUUUUUUAAAAAAGAAAGUGUAUUUGGAAAUAAAGGCAGAUGGAAAAUUCA